AAAGAUGGAGGGGGAAUACACAAGCAAUGAACUACCAAAAGUCUGGAAGACAGAAUUUACAAAACUGCGUCCAAUCAUACCUGUUUUCCUUAUAUCUGGAUUGUCCCUACUUAUACUGGUGAAAAAACACUCAGUUCCUUGGGAAAAAUGCGCCUUUGUCACUAUAAUAUUGAGCAUAACAACAGCAGUGGCUGGAACAAUUUAUUAUUCUCUGGAGUUUGCUUUGAUUAGAUCGCCUCAGAGCCCCUUUCCUCAUGACACCAGUGAUCCUGAAAGAUUGGCACUAGCCUACAGAGUGGACUCAGCAGAACUUGGAUUAGCAGCCUUUGAGGUAGGAGUCUCUGUCUGGAUUUUGUGCCUGCUGCAGCGAGCAAGGAAGACAUUAAGGCAGUAGCUCUCAUUGUCAAAAAUAUCAUCUUUUUCAACAGGCUGCUGCCAUUGAUUUUGUUUUAUGGGGAUUGUUCAAUUUGUUUUAUGGGGAUUGUGUGCCGGUGUCAGCACUAUUUAGCACGUAAGGGCCAUAGUCAAAACUCAUAUUUAAAUACAUGUAUGUUGGUACAUGCCACAUAUAUUUAGCUUGAUCUUACUUCCACUGAAGUCAA